GCAGACAAACACACCUUAGGAUACACCACCAGUCCUUCAGUGAUGUUCUGCAGGGUGCUGAGGAUGAUGUCCGCUGUGAGGAAGGACUCAGGCAGUGAGAUCCUCCUGAAUACACAUAAAAAUGAGUGUAAAGUUACAUGCAGUGCAGAGCCACAUCACAUGGUCAGACCAGAGAUAUGUAACCGUGCCUGUUAGCGCUGUCGUCCAGGGUCCUCUCCAGCCACUGCACCGCUGCGGUCUGCAGGGGGUCUGACAGGAGCGCCAUCAGGUGACGAGCGAGACUGCAGCAGCGCUCCGCACGCAUGGGGUUCCUCUUGUACGGCAUGGCACUGGACCC